UCCGAGUUGACCCCGGCAGUCUCCUGCGAGUCCCCGCCAUUACGCGCUGGCAACACAGGACAAGGGUUGCGCUCGUUGCGGGACUUAACCCAACAUCUCACGACACGAGCUGACGACAGCCAUGCACCACCUGUAUACCGACCACAAGGGGGGCCGUAUCUCUACGGCUUUCCGGUAUAUGUCAAACCCAGGUAAGGUUCUUCGCGUUGCAUCGAAUUAAAGAACAUGCUCCGCUGCUUGUGCGGGCCCCCGUCAAUUCUUUUGAGUUUUAAUCUUGCGACCGUACUCCCCAGGCGGUCAACUUCACGCGUUAGCUACGUUACCAAGCCAAUGAAGGCCCGACAACCAGUUGACAUCGUUUAGGGCGUGGACUAC
rnacentral:misc_RNA from 1 species